rnacentral:piRNA from 1 species
UAAAUUUCCUAUAUUUUUGUUUGUGAAACUA